rnacentral:rRNA from 1 species
UACGUAGGUGGCGAGCGUUGUCCGGAAUCAUUGGGCGUAAAGCGCGCGUAGGCGGUUUCUUAAGUCUGAUGUGAAAGCCCCCGGCUCAACCGGGGAGGGUCAUUGGAAACUGGGAGACUUGAGUGCAGAAGAGGAGAGUGGAAUUCCAUGUGUAGCGGUGAAAUGCGUAGAUAUAUGGAGGAACACCGGUGGCGAAAGCGGCUCUCUGGUCUGUAACUGACGCUGAGGCUCGAAAGCGUGGGGAGCGAACAGG